CUCGAUGUCGGCUCUUCGUCACCUGGGGCUGUAGUAUGUUCCAAGGGUUGGGCUGUUCGCCCAUUAAAGCGGUACGUGAGCUGGGUUCAGAAUGUCGUAAGACAGUUC
rnacentral:ncRNA from 1 species